rnacentral:rRNA from 1 species
GAUGAACGCUGGCGGCGUGCCUAAUACAUGCAAGUCGAGCGAACAGAUAAGGAGCUUGCUCCUUUGACGUUAGCGGCGGACGGGUGAGUAACACGUGGGUAACCUACCUAUAAGACUGGAAUAACUCCGGGAAACCGGGGCUAAUGCCGGAUAACAUUUAGAACCGCAUGGUUCUAAAGUGAAAGAUGGUUUUGCUAUCACUUAUAGAUGGACCCGCGCCGUAUUAGCUAGUUGGUAAGGUAACGGCUUACCAAGGCAACGAUACGUAGCCGACCUGAGAGGGGGAUAGGCCACACUGGAACUGAGACACGGUCCAGACGCCUACGGGAGGCAGCAGUAGGGAAUCUGACGCAAUGGGGGAAAGCCUGACGGAGCAACGCCGCGUGAGUGAUGAAGGUCUUCGGAUCGUAAAACUCUGUUAUUAGGGAAGAACAAAUGUGUAAGUAACUGUGCACGUCUUGACGGUACCUAAUCAGAAAGCCACGGCUAACUACGUG